ACUCAAAGGAAUAGACGGGGACUUGCACAAGCGGUGGAUCAUGUGGUUUAAUUCGAUGAUAAACGAAGAACCUUACCAGGGUUUGAAACCUAGCUGAAUAUCUUUGGAAACAUAGAUAGUCGCAAGACAGUUAGGCAGGUGAUGCAUGGCCGUCGUCAGUUCGUGGUUUGAAUUGUUCCCUUAAGUGGGGUAACGAACGCAACCCUCGUUGUCUGUUAUAUUUGUCAGACGAGACUGCCCACGACUUUGAAUACAAGCGAAAGCUUGCGAGCAAAGUCGUGGGAGGAAGGCGAGGAUGACGCCAGGUCAGCAUGUCCCUCUGAUACCCUGGGCUACACACGUGAUACAAUCGCGUCUACAACGGGACGCAAUGUCGAAAGACGGAGCAAAUCCUUAGAAAAGACGCGCCAGUUCGGAUUGAGGUCUGCAACUCGACCUCAUGAAGCCGGAAUCGCUAGUAAUCGCAGGUCAGCUAUACUGCGGUGAAUACGUUCUCAAGUCUUGUACACACCGCCCGU
rnacentral:rRNA from 1 species